AGAAACCUGCUGGCACUAGAGAGCUCUCAGAAGUUGAGGAGGUGGAAAUGGAUGAAAUUCCACAAGAGGUCCCAAGUCUUAAUCAACAUCUUCAGAGACUAAAAAACCUGCUAAAUUCUGCCACUCUCUCUGCACCAGUGGAAGCAGAAGAGACACCCACCAUGUCUGCAUGGACCAACAGACAGGUCAUCUCUGAAAAUUGUUUUUAGGACUGCAAUGCCAGAAAUCUUAAAUUGCAUGUUGGCUGCAGAGACAGUAACCCAGCAUUCCUGUCAACAAUGCAAGACUGUUGAUGCGGUUGUCUGGUGCCUAGACUGUGUUCGCUCAGGAAGUCAGUAUUUCUGUUCCACAUGUGACUCAGAGAUCCACAGAAAAAAUGUUUUCCAUAAUAAGGAAGCUAUGUUUGAUGUUUUUUUUAAACCUAUUCCAGCAUCAUUAGUGGUGGUUGAUGAAAGUGGCCAAUAUCAACUCUGUGAACAAGUGUGUAUGCUUCCGAUUUCUCCACCAAUGCAAAUCUGCUCCUGCAGCCCAAACCAAGACUUCACAGUUAUCCCAGGAAUGAAGACUGUCUUGGUGACUAUCAACGAUAUGUCUUGUCACUUCCUCCUCCU